rnacentral:rRNA from 1 species
UACGAGGGGUGCAAGCGUUGCUCGGAAUUAUUGGGCGUAAAGGGUAGGUAGGUGGUCUCAUUUGUCUGGGGUGAAAGCCUUGAGCUUAACUCAAGAAGUGCCCCGGAAACGGUGAGACUAGAGUUCUGGAGAGGGUCGUGGAAUUCCCGGUGUAGCGGUGAAAUGCGUAGAGAUCGGGAGAAACACCAGAGGCGAAGGCGGCGACCUGGACAGAUACUGACACUCAACUACGAAAGCGUGGGGAGCAAACAGG